UAGGGAAUCUUCCACAAUGGACGCAAGUCUGAUGGAGCAACGCCGCGUGAGUGAAGAAGGCUUUCGGGUCGUAAAACUCUGUUAUUGAAGAAGAACGUGUGUGACAGUAACUGGUCAUGCAGUGACGGUAUUCAAUCAGAAAGUCACGGCUAACUACGUGCCAGCAGCCGCGGUAAUACGUAGGUGGCAAGCGUUGUCCGGAUUUAUUGGGCGUAAAGCGAGUGCAGGCGGUCUUUUAAGUCUGAUGUGAAAGCCUUCGGCUUAACCGAAGAAGGGCAUCGGAAACUGGGAGACUUGAGUGCAGAAGAGGAGAGUGGAACUCCAUGUGUAGCGGUGAAAUGCGUAGAUAUAUGGAAGAACACCAGUGGCGAAGGCGGCUCUCUGGUCUGUAACUGACGCUGAGGCUCGAAAAGCGUGGGUAGCAAACAGGAUUAGA
rnacentral:rRNA from 1 species